rnacentral:rRNA from 1 species
AUGCACGCUGGCGGCGUGCCUAAUACAUGCAAGUCGCACGCUUCACUUCGGUGAAGAGUGGCGAACGGGUGAGUAAUACAUAAGUAACCUGGCAUCUACAGGGGGAUAACUGAUGGAAACGUCAGCUAAGACCGCAUAGGUGUAGAGAUCGCAUGAACUCUAUAUGAAAAGUGCUACGGGACUGGUAGAUGAUGGACUUAUGGCGCAUUAGCUUGUUGGUAGGGUAACGGCCUACCAAGGCGACGAUGCGUAGCCGACCUGAGAGGGUGACCGGCCACACUGGGACUGAGACACGGCCCAGACUCCUACGGGAGGCAGCAGUAGGGAAUUUUCGGCAAUGGGGGAAACCCUGACCGAGCAACGCCGCGUGAAGGAAGAAGUAAUUCGUUAUGUAAACUUCUGUCAUAGAGGAAGAACGGUGGAUAUAGGGAAUGAUAUCCAAGUGACGGUACUCUAUAAGAAAGCCACGGCUAACUACGUG